rnacentral:rRNA from 1 species
GAUGAACGCUGGCGGCGUGCCUAAUACAUGCAAGUCGAGCGAACGGACGAGAAGCUUGCUUCUCUGAUGUUAGCGGCGGACGGGUGAGUAACACGUGGAUAACCUACCUAUAAGACUGGGAUAACUUCGGGAAACCGGAGCUAAUACCGGAUGAUAUUUUGAACCGCAUGGUUAAAAAGUGAAAGACGGUCUUGCUGUCACUUAUAGAUGGAUCCGCGCUGCAUUAGCUAGUUGGUAAGGUAACGGCUUACCAAGGCAACGAUGCAUAGCCGACCUGAGAGGGUGAUCGGCCACACUGGAACGGAGACACGGUCCAGACUCCUACGGGAGGCAGCAGUAGGGAAUCUUCCGAAAUGGGCGAAAGCCUGACGGAGCAACGCCGCGUGAGUGAUGAAGGUCUUCGGAUCGUAAAACUCUGUUAUUAGGGAAGAACAUAUGUGUAAGUAACUGUGCACAUCUUGACGGUACCUAAUCAGAAAGCUACGGCUAACUACGUG